GAAAGCGUGGGGAGCAANCAGGAUUAGAUACCCUGGUAGUNCACGCCGUAAACGAUGAGUGCUAGGUGUUAGACCCUUUCCGGGGUUUAGUGCCGCAGCUAACGCAUUAANCACUCCGCCUGGGGCGUACGACCGCAAGGUUGAAACUCAAAGGAAUUGACGGGGGCCCGCACAAGCGGUGGAGCAUGUGGUUUAAUUCGAAGCAACGCGAAGAACCUUACCAGGUCUUGACAUCCCUCUGACCGCUCUAGAGAUAGAGUUUUCCUUCGGGACAGAGGUGACAGGUGGUGCAUGGUUGUCGUCAGCUCGUGACGUGAGAUGUUGGGUUAAGUCCCGCAACGAGCGCAACCCUUAUUGUUAGUUGCCAUCAUUCAGUUGGGCACUCUAGCGAGACUGCCGGUAAUAAACCGGAGGAAGGUGGGGAUGACGUCAAAUCAUCAUGCCCCUUAUGACCUGGGCUACACACGUGCUACAAUGGCUGGUACAACGAGUCGCAAGUCGGUGACGGCAAGCUAAUCUCUUAAAGCCAGUCUCAGUUCGGAUUGUAGGCUGCAACUCGCCUACAUGAAGUCGGAAUCGCUAGUAAUCGCGGAUCAGCACGCCGCGGUGAAUACGUUCCCGGGCCUUGUACACACCGCCCGUCACACCACGAGAGUUUGUAACACCCGAAGUCGGUGAGGUAACC
rnacentral:rRNA from 1 species